rnacentral:rRNA from 1 species
UCAAGUGAAUAAGUGCAUCAGGUGGAUGCCUUGGCGAUGAUAGGCGACGAAGGACGUGUAAGCCUGCGAAAAGCGCGGGGGAGCUGGCAAUAAAGCUAUGAUCCCGCGGUGUCCGAAUGGGGAAACCCACCUCUUAGGAGGUAUCCUUAUCUGAAUACAUAGGAUAAGCGAAGCGAACCCGGAGAACUGAACCAUCUAAGUACCCGGAGGAAAAGAAAUCAACCGAGAUUCCGCAAGUAGUGGCGAGCGAACGCGGAGGAGCCUGUACGUGAUAACUGUCGAGAUAGAAGAACAAGCUGGGAAGCUUGACCAUAGUGGGUGAUAGUCCCGUAUUCGAAAUCUCAACAGUGGUACUAAGCGUACGAAAAGUAGGGCGGGACACGUGAAAUCCUGUCUGAAUAUGGGGGGACCAUCCUCCAAGGCUAAAUACUCAUCAUCGACCGAUAGUGAACCAGUACCGUGAGGGAAAGGCGAAAAGAACCCCGGGAGGGGAGUGAAAUAGAACCUGAAACCUGAUGCAUACAAACAGUGGGAGCACCCUUGUGGUGUGACUGCGUACCUUUUGUAUAAUGGGUCAACGACUUACAUUCAGUAGCGAGCUUAACCGAAUAGGGGAGGCGUAGGGAAACCGAGUCUUAAUAGGGCGAACAGUUGCUGGGUGUAGACCCGAAACCGAGUGAUCUAUCCAUGGCCAGGUUGAAGGUGCCGUAACAGGUACUGGAGGACCGAACCCACGCAUGUUGCAAAAUGCGGGGAUGAGCUGUGGAUAGGGGUGAAAGGCUAAACAAACUCGGAGAUAGCUGGUUCUCCCCGAAAACUAUUUAGGUAGUGCCUCGAGCAAGACACUGAUGGGGGUAAAGCACUGUUAUGGCUAGGGGGUUAUUGCAACUUACCAACCCAUGGCAAACUAAGAAUACCAUCAAGUGGUUCCUCGGGAGACAGACAGCGGGUGCUAACGUCCGUUGUCAAGAGGGAAACAACCCAGACCGCCAGCUAAGGUCCCAAAUGAUAGAUUAAGUGGUAAACGAAGUGGGAAGGCCUAGACAGCCAGGAUGUUGGCUUAGAAGCAGCCAUCAUUUAAAGAAAGCGUAAUAGCUCACUGGUCGAGUCGUCCUGCGCGGAAGAUGUAACGGGGCUCAAAUCUAUAACCGAAGCUGCGGAUGCCAGUUUACUGGCAUGGUAGGGGAGCGUUCUGUAGGCCGAUGAAGGUGCAUUGUAAAGUGUGCUGGAGGUAUCAGAAGUGCGAAUGUUGACAUGAGUAGCGAUAAAGCGGGUGAAAAGCCCGCUCGCCGAAAGCCCAAGGUUUCCUACGCAACGUUCAUCGGCGUAGGGUGAGUCGGCCCCUAAGGCGAGGCAGAAAUGCGUAGUCGAUGGGAAACAGGUUAAUAUUCCUGUACUUGAUUCAAAUGCGAUGUGGGGACGGAGAAGGUUAGGUUAGCAAGCUGUUGGAAUAGCUUGUUUAAGCCGGUAGGUGGAAGACUUAGGCAAAUCCGGGUCUUCUUAACACCGAGAAGUGAUGACGAGUGUCUACGGACAUGAAGUAACCGAUACCACGCUUCCAGGAAAAGCCACUAAGCUUCAGUUUGAAUCAAACCGUACCGCAAACCGACACAGGUGGGCAGGAUGAGAAUUCUAAGGCGCUUGAGAGAACUCGGGAGAAGGAACUCGGCAAAUUGAUACCGUAACUUCGGGAGAAGGUAUGCCCUCUAAGGUUAAGGACUUGCUCCGUAAGCCCUGGAGGGUCGCAGAGAAUAGGUGGCUGCGACUGUUUAUUAAAAACACAGCACUCUGCUAACACGAAAGUGGACGUAUAGGGUGUGACGCCUGCCCGGUGCUGGAAGGUUAAUUGAAGAUGUGCAAGCAUCGGAUCGAAGCCCCAGUAAACGGCGGCCGUAACUAUAACGGUCCUAAGGUAGCGAAAUUCCUUGUCGGGU